GACGAACGCUGGCGGCGUGCCUAAUACAUGCAAGUCGAACGCUUCUUUCCUCCCGAGUGCUUGCCCUCAAUUGGAAAGAGGAGUGGCGGACGGGUGAGUAACACGUGGGUAACCUACCCAUCAGAGGGGGAUAACACUUGGAAACAGGUGCUAAUACCGCAUAACAUUUUAUGCCGCAUGGCAUAAGAUUGAAAGGCGCUUUCGGUUGUCGUUGAUGGAUGGACCCGCGGUGCAUUAGCUAGUUGGUGAGGUAACGGCUCACCAAGGCCACGAUGCAUAGCCGACCUGAGAGGGUGAUCGGCCACACUGGGACUGAGACACGGCCCAGACUCCUACGGGAGGCAGCAGUAGGGAAUCUUCGGCAAUGGACGAAAGUCUGACCGAGCAACGCCGCGUGAGUGAAGAAGGUUUUCGGAUCGUAAAACUCUGUUGUUAGAGAAGAACAAGGACGUUAGUAACUGAACGUCCCCUGACGGUAUCUAACCAGAAAGCCACGGCUAACUACGUG
rnacentral:rRNA from 1 species